UGACGCGGCAUGUGAGACCCUUGCCCUGGGCAGCUUCGCGGCGACCCAUCCAGGCCUGCAGCUUGGGGUCCUUGGAGGCCACGGAUGGAUGGGGUGGAGGCUGCGUCAGUGGCGCCUCGUAAAGUCGUGAAGUCACACUCAGUGACCGUCAGGGUGGACAGAAAGACGAGGCCAAAGGCCCUGGCCCAGCCCUUCAGCGUCCAGAGCCGCGCCCAGAUGCCUGGCCCGGUGCUGCCUGAUUUGGGCACCAACCCACUCGGCCACUGGACCUGUCUUUCCUGCAACAGGAGUGUUUGCUUUUCUCUCAAAUGGAGAUGAUGUGUCUUGAUGGAAGAACCAUGAGAGAUAUCCAUCCUCUAGAAAAUGAAGUGCUGACAGCUUACAUAGAGUUGUGAACUAUUAAAAAUUCAAGCUGUGUAAGUCAGCUAAACUGAGAA